GACGAACGCUGGCGGCGUGCUUAACACAUGCAAGUCGAACGCUGAAGCUCAGCUUUUGUUGGGUGGAUGAGUGGCGAACGGGUGAGUAACACGUGAGUAACCUGCCUCCUUCUUUGGGAUAACGCCCGGAAACGGGUGCUAAUACUGGAUAUUCACUGGUCUUCGCAUGGGGGUUGGUGGAAAGGGUUUUUCUGGUGCGGGAUGGGCUCGCGGCCUAUCAGCUUGUUGGUGGGGUGAUGGCCUACCAAGGCUUUGACGGGUAGCCGGCCUGAGAGGGUGACCGGUCACAUUGGGACUGAGAUACGGCCCAGACUCCUACGGGAGGCAGCAGUGGGGAAUAUUGCACAAUGGGCGCAAGCCUGAUGCAGCGACGCCGCGUGAGGGAUGGAGGCCUUCGGGUUGUGAACCUCUUUCGCUCAUGGUCAAGCCGCAACAAUGGUUGUGGUGAGGGUAGUGGGUAAAGAAGCGCCGGCUAACUACGUG
rnacentral:rRNA from 1 species